rnacentral:rRNA from 1 species
CAGCCGCCGCGGUAAUACGAAGGGUGCAAGCGUUAAUCGGAAUUACUGGGCGUAAAGCGUGCGUAGGCGGUGAGUUAAGUCUGCUGUGAAAUCCCCGGGCUCAACCUGGGAAUGGCAGUGGAUACUGGCUCGCUAGAGUGUGUCAGAGGAUGGUGGAAUUCCCGGUGUAGCGGUGAAAUGCGUAGAGAUCGGGAGGAACAUCAGUGGCGAAGGCGGCCAUCUGGGACAACACUGACGCUGAGGCACGAAAGCGUGGGGAGCAAACAGGAUUAGAUACCCGCGUAGUCCCUGUCUCUUAUAU